rnacentral:rRNA from 1 species
CCUACGGGUGGCAGCAGUGGGGAAUAUUGGGCAAUGGGCGCAAGCCUGACCCAGCAACGCCGCGUGAAGGAAGAAGGCUUUCGGGUUGUAAACUUCUUUUAAGAGGGAAGAGCAGAAGACGGUACCUCUUGAAUAAGCCACGGCUAACUACGUGCCAGCAGCCGCGGUAAUACGUAGGUGGCAAGCGUUGUCCGGAUUUACUGGGUGUAAAGGGCGUGCAGCCGGGAAGACAAGUCAGAUGUGAAAUCCCGCGGCUCAACCGCGGAACUGCAUUUGAAACGGUUUUUCUUGAGUACCGGAGAGGUCAUCGGAAUUCCUUGUGUAGCGGUGAAAUGCGUAGAUAUAAGGAAGAACACCGAUUGCGAAGGCAGCUUACCAAGCUACUUCUGACGUUGAGGCACGAAAGCGUGGGGAGCAAACAGGAUUAGAUACCCUUGUAGUC